rnacentral:lncRNA from 1 species
CAUGAUGAAUAUUUCGUCUGAGGCACUUGGCUAAAGAGAAUUCAUAACCAUUUAUCACCAACUUAAAACAGCUGUUUCAUUAAUACUUCUUUUUUUAUUAUUUAGGGGUUUCUUUUAUUGUUGCUUCUUAAAAUUUACAUUACUGUGUUGAUGCUUACAGAGAACAGCAGCUUUAGAACGAUCUCUUAGAGUCGGAAAUGAUUGGAAGAAGCUGAUAAAAAGAGGGGUAAACAUGCUGAAUGAGCCCCACUAUCAGGUCCUACAGAUAUAUAAUAUUCCCACAUCAAUACUAGUUUAGCCUAUAGUCGAUCUAACAUAUGUUCUAUGGUUUUAGUUAUGCUAGGUGGAUUGUGGGGUUGCACAUGGAGAAGAGAUGGAGCAUCUUAACACUAUUGAUAGCAUAUUAAUUAAGUUCUAGAAGGAUGAUGGCAAAGAAGAUGAAUCUGUUAACCCAUCUAAUGUAAUUAUCAUAGAGCAUUAUAUCAAUUAUUAUUUUCUUGGCUCAUGAUUAUGUCAGAUAAUUUCAUCAUUAUUGCAUUGAAACUAUGGCAUACCUAUCUCUUUAUUGUAGUGCCCAUCCAGGAAUGGACAAAAUACAUGCGAUAUCCCUAUCAUAUAUACUGGAAACCUCUCAAUGAAAUUCAAACUGACUAAUUUGCAACACAAUUAACUUUUCAUCUGGCUUUGCAGCUGGAACAGUCUUAAAUAAAUGCCAUUAGCAGCAACUAAUGUUGCAUGUUUUCCCAUCUCAACCACCUUACCCUUGUCCAUUACCACAAUUACAUCAGAACUAACCACUGUAGAAAGCCUAUGAGCAACUGUAAUUUGAGUGAUUCUUUGCCUACCCCAUUUAUUUGAUCCUAAAGAACUCAUGACUUUUCUUUCAGAUUCUCCAUCCAGUGCACUGGUAGGUUCAUCUAGCAGCAGUAUUGCAGGCCUCUUCAGUAGAGUUCGUGCAAUUGCUAUUCGCUGCUUUUGUCCACCAGAAAGCUGGCAACCCUUUUCGCCCACGAUGGUGUCAUAUCCAUUUGGCAAGCUGCUUACGAAUUCAUGAAUAUUUGCCUCAAUUGCAGCCUCAAGUAUUUCAGUUUCUGAAGCAUCCUCAUGCCCAUAGCAGAUAUUGUCUCUAAUUGAGGAACUAAAAAGUAGUGGCUCUUGCUGCACCAACCCUAUUUGCUUUCUUAACCAUCGUAGGUUGUAAUUUCUUAUUUCCUUUUUAUCAACUAGAAUCCUUCCUUUAUCAGGAUCAUAGAACCUCAACAGAAGGGCUAAAACAGAGGACUUUCCUGCACCACUGGGCCCAACAAGGGCCACCUUCUGUCCAGAUUCAAUAAUUAAACUGAAAUUAUCUAGAAUAACAACUUCUGGCCUUGAUGGAUAGUUGAAACUAACCUCUUCAAAUUCUAUUCUGCCUACAAUUCUUUCAAGGCUCAUAUUUUCUGGUGCAUCUGGUACAAUUUCAGUUUUCCUAUCAAGGAUCUGGAAUGCAGGUGUUAGUAUGUUGAUGGCAGAGAUGACUGUGGGUAUCAAAGUCCAUAGCUCAGUGAUUGAAGGGACCGUGAGUGAAAAAAUCUGGUAUGAUCUUAUUCCAUUUUCAAAAGUUGCCUGUCUCUUAUCAACCAACACUGUAGUAUACCACAAGGCAACAGCAUGUGCAAUAUUCCACAAGCAAAGUGAUGCCCCUUGAAUCGUUCCAUACUUGAUACUCUCUAUCCUGCUGAUCCGCAUUGGUUCUCUUAAUGAGAGCUUGGCUUUCUUGAGUAUCUGUUCUUCAUGUACGAAGGAGGCCACAGUUCUGAUGUUGCUUGCUGAUUCUGAUGCAAGGGCAACAAGUUCUCGGUGAGCAACAGCGAAGUCACCCGAGAAUCCUUUGGCUGAUUUGGCUUGAAUAAGACCACCAAUGAAAUGGCAAGGCAUAACAGCCCAAGCUACCAAACCCAUUCGCCAGUUAACAAUCAUACUUACGAUGGUUGCAAUUAGAAUUGAAGAGAUGCAUUGGACGAUAACAGACAUCCGAUCAGAUAUGAUGGUCUUGAUCAUGGAUGUGUCACCAACAAUGUGUGAAGAAAGGAAGCCCACACUAUUCUCAGAUUUUUCAAACCAAGCUAUCUCGUUGCGCAGAACAGCUGCAUAAUUAGCAGGAAAUAUUUUAAACUACACUUGCACAAAGAGUGAACCAACUAUUUCAAUUGCUUAGAAAGGCAUUACAUAUUCUUUAGAAAAAUGAAUGUUACGCAUGCAUGCAUCAUAUGUAAGCUUCUUUUGUGUGGAAUCCUUUUAAAAUUAUGCUAUCAAGGAGUUAAUAUUAAUCAUAACAGUUUGUGAGAUAUGUAUUAUUAUGCUUGACUGGAGCUUAGUUAUAGCGUUUGUAAAGAAUUACUAUUUCUUAUGUCUUUUAUGUGAAUUUGAGCUUGACAAUUUGCAAAUUAAAACCGUAUGAUGCUAGGUUUAACACUGUAUCUGUACCUUUCCUGUGCCUGAGUUUAUAGAUCAAAAUUCUCUAAGAGAUUGGGGAAAAAAUUAAGGAUGUUGUAAAGAUGUUUCUAAGUGAAUGACACAUUAAAUUACACUAAGUUUGAGUUGCUAGAUCUGUAAUGGUCUUUUAAUGAUGCUCUGUCCCAUGGUGAUUUGCAAUUUUAGUCAGUUACUUGCCAAAAGAUGCAUUUGAAAUACUUGUUUGGAUGUGAGGCUUUGAUAAUCAAAUAGCAGGUUCAUGUAGCUUUCUAACAUAAAAUUGCUAUUUUAUUGAAAUAUUCAACAGAGUUUUGUGAUAUGGGUGUACAGUGACUUAACAUAGGCAGCAUGGUAAAGGUGAGACAAGGUACCUGAAAACAGAGUCUCCCUGAGGUUUCUCAUGGCUGUUUCCCCAACCACACCAUAGAAAAAAUGUUGCAAUGUGUGAGUAAUUAAUGUUAGAAGUCCAACAAGACAAAAUAUUCCCGAAUACCACCCUACUCUCCUCCUGGCGUCAUGCUUGUAGUAUGCUACUCCAAUUGUCAUGAUGAAAAAUCCAAACAGUGGCUUAGAAAUACCAGAGACAGCUGCUGCAAAAGAACCUACAACAGUCUUUGCGAGCUCAAGCUUGUUCAAUCCAAACCAGAUUCUGAAGAAGGGAACUGCCUUUCUUUUGAUUUUUUGUAUUUCUUUGUCUGGAGGUUCGCUCAACUGAUCUUGCUGUUCUUUAGAUGCUUCAAGGAUAUCAGGAGCUUGUGAAUAACAACUAUUCUGAAUAGUCUCUGGUGCUUCUUCUGUAUGAUCUAUAUCCCUGGUUUAAACAAUUAAAAGAAAAUCAUAAUGUUACCUUUGUACAUUUGUGUCCAUGCUUUUAUUUAAAUUCAAAUUCUUUUAUUUCUUCAAUUUCCUGAAUCUACUACCUUGUCCCAAGGAAAAUUAUCAAGGCCAGGUCUAGUUUGUUUAUCCAACCAUGUUAAACAUAUUUCUGCAUGCAACUUGUCUUUUAUUGCCUAAAUCUUCUCAGCUUUGAUGACAAAAAGUAAAGUUUACUUUCUCUUGUAAUGGUAGCCCAGACAGGUUUUCUCCUUAUCUAUUUAUGAUACCACCUACCUUGAUCCACUGUCUCCAGUGUCUGUCUUCAGAUUCUGCAUGCCAAAUAAGUUGCAGUAGAACUUGCUGCUUUCUAGCAAUUCUUGGUGAGUUCCAGUCUGUGCCACAGUUCCAUUCUCAACCACAGCUAUGAUAUCGGAGUUGAUGACUGUUGACAUUCUGUGGGCUAUCAAAAUCACAGUUCUUCCUUGCAUAGCUCUCUCAAGGGCAUCUUGAACCAGCUUUUCAGACCCUGAAUCAAGUGCACUUGUGGCCUCAUCAAGCAGAAGAAUUGGAGGAUCUUUGAGAAUAGCUCUUGCGAUAGCUAUUCUCUGUUUCUGCCCACCUGAUAAUUGUACUCCUCUCUCACCUGCCUGAACUCAUUAAGUCAAACAUUGGUUGCCUAGAAAAAUAAAUAAGAUGAAUAGCAAGGAAACCUAGUUGUGUGCGUGCUGAUAAAUGGUUCUUUGCUAUAUAAAAGAUUAGGUGAUUCAACUAGGAGGAUAAUGGGAUUUUUAUGGAGGAUUAGUGCAGGAUGCAAAUUUUCUUUGUGAGGGACCUACUAUUGAUAUUUGCUUCCUCUCCAACUUCGUUACAUAAUAAAUAGGGCAUGGCACAGGCUAUCCAUUGGUUAUUCAUGUUUAACUGUCUUAUCUCCUUCAUUCUAUGAACAGUUUCAGAGGACUUCAACUUUCUGAGUUUCUUUAAGGACAAUAAUCACUGCUAAGUAAAAUGAUCUAGUUUGUUGGAUCAAAUUGCUGGCAAUGAGACCUACUUCUCUCCAUUAUUGAUCCAGUGCUCUCAACCCAAGAAUCCCAAGGCUCCCUCCUUAGUCCUUAGUGGAGCUUUCUGUGGCUCAUACUGCAUAAAAUUAGACCAUCUCAAACUAUUUUCCUCAAGAGUUACUCUAGAGGAAUCACCACACUAUAGUAAAAUGCAUACUAUCAACCAUAUGUCGCCAUGCUUAACUUUGUAGAUCAAUCCACUUUGUAAAUUUUAAUUGUCAAAAUUUGUUAUCCUGACUUUCACUAGUAAUUUAAUAUUGACGUUACAGGAUAUGUGGAAGUAACGGUCAAGUGUCAAUUAGUUUUCUUCAUUUCAAAUCCUAAUAUUGCUCAGAAGAAAUUAGCUUUAUUUAUGGCAAUGUUUAGAAUCUUACCUCGGUGGAGUAUUUGUCUGGAAGUUGGGAUAUGAAUAAGUGUGCAUUUGCUGUUGAUGUGGCUCUCUCUAUCUGUUCAUCACUUGCAUCCAUGUUCCCAAUUUUCAGAUUAUCUUUGAUGGUGCCCGAAAAGAGUGAUGGCUCUUGUGGAACUGCUGCUAUGUUCCUCCUAAGGAAUUUCAGAUCCAAAUCCUUGAUGUUGUGACCAUCUAUGAAAAUCUCACCUGCAACCUUAGCUGACUGUUUUAGCUCUUGCAGAAAACAUACAAUCCCCAUAGUAUAAAUCAAAAUUGUCCUCUUAAAAUAAGUGCAUGCAUUUUUCUUUUUUAUUCACGAGUUUAUACUUUUUGUGCCUAAAUCAUUUACACAUAUACACAGUUUUAUUUAUCUUUUUUACUUGUUGCAUAUUCAAUCAAGGGUACACUUAUAUUCCUUUUAUAAAGGACAUGGAUUUCUUUGUGAGCAUAAAGAACACAUCUCAUUCCUUAACUUGGGAAUGAGGCCUCUGUCCUUGGAAACUAUGCUUGGCUUUUCUCUGAUGUACUAAUGUUUAAAGAUUAUGUAGGCAGCAGCAAACCUGUGGUUGGAUCAUAGAACCGCUGAAUUAAGGAAAUCACAGUGCUUUUCCCACAUCCACUGUUACCCACUAAAGCAACCACUCUGCCUGCUGGUAUGGACAGUGAAAAACCUUGAAGGAUAAGAUUAUCCUCACGGGACGGGUAAGAAAAAUGCACUCCUUUUAUGUCUAUUUCUCCAACAAUGUUCUCUAAUGUUUUUCCUUUAUUUUCAUAACUUAUGCCUGGCUUCCUUUCAAUCACCUUGAAAACUUCAUGUCCUGCAGCUUUUGCCCGAUUAAAGAUCUCAAGGUCAGGUGCAGCAUAAGUGAUUGAUCUGCAUCUCAAUAAGAAAACCAAACCUCUUAGUUUUUGGAAACUAUAUAAUGAUGAUCAUAUCCAAGAUGAAAAGGAAGUCUCUUAGAAUAUUUACAUUG